GUGAAUUAUUGCACAUGCGCAACAAGACCACUUGGCUGUAUGACUACAUAGAUUGCCGCCAUUUUGACAUAAAAGUUUCGUCCAACAAGACGAAGCGCCAACAAAGAACGCCGCCAUUUUGACAAACAAGUUUCGUCCAACAAGACGAAGCGUGAAAAAUUUGUCAAGAGACAGUAAUUUUCGUUUGACAAAAUGGAGAUGAGCAAACAGAAGUGCCCAAAUCCGAGUUGCAAGUCCUUGAUGGAAAACACAUUUAGAUUUUGUGGCAACUGUGGAACAAAAAUUCAGUGUGAUAGUCAAGAUGCUGGGUCAAGUAAAGCCAAUUAUUUGCGCCCCAAUGUUGACAGCGAAGAGCACGCAAGAAAAACGAAUAACGGUGAAGGCUAUUUGAACUCGGCUGAAGAAGAAUUAAACCCCAUGGAACUUCAGGCGAUGGCGAACGAUGUUUUAGCAACUGCCUCUGAAGACGCUGAUAUUGAAAAAGUUCGUAAUACACUUGAAGAAAAUGUAAUAGAACCGACCGUUCCAUUACACAUCGGAAUCGUUGGUGAAUCAGGCACUGGGAAGUCUUCGUUUAUAAAUGCCAUGCUUGGACUUCGAUCUGGUGACGUUGGAGCAGCAAAAGUUGGACUAUUUGAGACGACGUUAAAACGGACU